GGAAAUUGGAAUUCUUGUGCACUGCUAGUGGGAAUGUGAAAUGCUACAGCCACUGUGUAAAAAUAGCAUAGCAGUUUCUCAACAAAGUAAACACGGAAUUAGCUUACGAUCCAGCAAUUCCACUUCUGGGUAUAUGCCCCAAAAAAUUGAAAGCAGGAACUCAGACAUCUGCACACGUAUGCUUAUGGCAACAGUAUUCGCAAUAGUCAAAAUGUGGGAACCUCCUCAGUGUCCAUCAACAGACGAAUAAGCAACACAUCAUGCAUCCAUUUACAGUGGAAUAUUAUUCAGCUUGAAAAGGAAGCUCAGACACAUGCCAGAACGUGGAUGAAGCUUGCAGAUAGCAUGCUAAGCGAAACAAGCCAGGCACAAAAGGACAAAUACGUGUUUUUCAGCUCUGUGCCACCAGCACAUGGUUCACAAGAGAAGCUCAAGCAAUCAGCACAGCGACAUGACGUCCAUGGCUCCAGGCACGUUUUCUUUGGGGCAGAGAGGGGUGGUUCCUCUAUAUAAAUACUAAAAAUACUCAUUUUUAAAUGAGUUGAUAUAAACAUGAAUAUGAUCCAAGCUGAAUUCAUUAUUACUAUAACCAUUUUUCUCUUUUUAUUUUCAAAGAAAUGAGACCAAGGUGGGCAGAUCACAAGGUCAAGUGUUUGAGACCAGCCUGGCCAACAUAAUGAAACACCGUCUCUACUAAAAAUACAAAAAUUAGUGGGGCAUGGUGGCGGGCAUCUGUAGUCCCAGCUACCAGGGAGGCUGAGGCAGGAGAAUUGCUUGAACCUGGGAGGUGGAGGUUGCAGUGAGCCGAGGUCAUGCCACUGCACUCCAGCCUGGGCAAAAGAGCAAGACUCCAUCUCAAAAACAAAAACAAACAAAAAGAAAUGAGAGUUGAACGAUUUCCAGGGGUUCCUGGCAGUAUCAUGGCCUAGGCCCUGUGCCUCCAACAGCCCGGGGAGGAGCUCCUCUGCACACAGCUGGAUGAGCAUGAAGCAGGGGGAGAGAGCAACAACCCACCCUACCACCCCCUCCUUGGUUGUUUUGAACCUCAAAGAGACAGCCAGCAGUAGAUGGUGACCAGCAGAACCUCGCAGGCGCACGACGGGUUCAUCCACCCAUUUCCAUGACAUUUUUUACAGGUGCCCAGAUGAGAGGAGGUACUUUCCAGUGUCGUUGCUGGCAUUCUACCAGCAGCUCGAGGCCCUGUUGGUCUAGAGAAUGCUGGCGACAAUAGCUGCAUUGUGGCAGUCCCGUGCUGACAGUGCAGGGUGGCCUUCACACUUCAAAUGAGGGAUCAACAUGAGCAUAACUAAUGGAGCCAUCAAAGACACUCUAGACUGGGAAGAUCAGACUCUGCACUGCGUUUAUUUCUGGACCUCACAUCUGUUGUAGUAUCUGCCGCAUGACAGGAGCUCAGGACAGUCUUUAUGACCAGAAGAAUGAAUGAAUAAACAUGUGAAUGAAGAAGGAGGCUGCCACGGAGAAAACACAAAAGCUUUCCACUACUCAGUAUUUUGAAACACGAAAAAACUUCACCAUACUUUACAUUGUUGUUAAAUUGUGGCAAAAUAUAUACAACAUAAAAGGUACAGUCUUAACCACCGCUAGAUGUACAGUUAAGUGGCAUUAAGUGUAUUCACACUGUUUUGCAAACAUAACCACCAUCCGGCUCCAUUACUUUUGCAUCAUCCCAAAUUGAAACUCUGUCCCCAUUAAACGCUAACUCCCCAUUUCCGCCACUGCAGCCCCUGGCAACCAUGGGACCUUGAGUUGGUUCCAGCUUUUGGCUAUCGUGAAUAACGCUGCUAUGAACAUAGGUGCACAAAAGUCCGUUCCUGACCCUGCUUUCUGUGCUGUUGGGUACCUACCCAGAAGUGGGAUGACUGGAUCAUCCAGUAAUUCUACACUGAGUUUUUUAACUGCCCUUUGACACAGAGGCUGCACCGUUUCACAUUCCCACCAAUAACGCACCCAUUUCUCAACAUGAUUCCAAUUUCUCUGAAUCCUCACCACCACUUGUUGUUUUGGUGGUGGUGGUUUUUUUUUUUUAAAUAGUAGCCAACCUAAUUCUAUAGCCUAAUACGUGAGAAGUAGUAUCUAUCUCCCAGUAGUUUCAAUGUGUAAGUUUCUAAUGAUUAGUGAUACUGAAUGUCUUUUCAUGUGCUCACUGGCUAUUUGUUAUAAGUAAUAUUUUCGAUGAGGCCCUUAUGGUAGUCAGCCUAUAGGCGCUCGAACUUCUUGCUCAUACAAUUCAGGUUCUGCAUUGCUGCUCACCAUGGUUUGCAGCUGGCAUGCAUUUGCAUGGUUGACCAGUUGUCAGCCUGGUGCUGGUGGUUUGCAUCUAUCUCACUGGAUUCUUGCCAAAUGGAGAGUGGCCACGCUGGCGUCCCCAUUGUAGAGAUGAUGCUGAGAUGCACUCAUGGACUUCGGCUAGAUAGCACCACUAGUUACUGGCCCAGCUGUAGUUCAACCCUGGGUGUCUAACGCUCACAUCAUCUCUCAGCGUGAAUGUGUGUUUACAGCGUUGAUAAACCACACAGACACUGACCAUGAAGAAAAAGCAAAACCGCUAAAUAAUUGAAUAUUCUUUAAUAUUACACUCAUCUUAAGUAAGAAGGAAUCCUGAAAAAGAAAUACAGAUUGCAGGUAAGCCUUUCAUCUCAGGGCGAUCUGAACAUGCUUUCUACCCUAGACACUUUAUUUUAUGCCUACACACAGCCCCAAAAAGUUAUUUAAGUUUUAAUACAGAUGGUCCUUCAGUUUGAUUUAUGCUAUUAAGUAAAAUGCUGUUAUGCAUAAAGGAGAAAAUAAAAGAACUAGUUAAGCACUUUUUUAUUAGCCUUCAGGCAUGUUCAUUAACUAUGCCGAGACUGUUUUGCGUAAUUUAUGCAUUUGUGCAUGUACAUAUAGUGCCAUAUAAAAUAGAUCAUUUACCCAAUAAAUAGGAGAAGUGUCAUCCCUCUCACUCGGCUGAGGAAUCUAUCAGUUUCUCUUAUAAAUCUAGGCUGCAUUUGCUGUGCAUGGGAAUGACCUUCCAUUAAGACGCAUACAUCUGGGCUUGGAAAAGGUCGAAGUGCCUUUUUAAGCAGAAAAUUACUGAAUCAAGAUCGUUAGUAGCUCUGAGUAAUCUUAUUAUUCAGCAUUCCCCUCCCCGCCUCCCCACACCGUCUUAGAAACUGCAUCAGGACUGAAAUCAGUUUCCUCGGCGGCUUCAUUCCUCACAUCUGCUGGUUGUGCAGCCUCCUUGCAUUCAGUCGACCUCAAGGACCAUAAAAAUAUUUACACAUUUUUACAGAUAUUUAAACACUCAGUACAAAUUUGUCCCAUUCAACUAAGGAAACCUCAGAUAAUUUCCAGAGAAGCCCAUCACAUGCAGCUUUCUUCGGACAUUCAGCAGCCAGUUCUCAGAUAGUCUGGAUUUGUUUGUGAAGUGGCUCCCUCCCUGAUGUUUGUGAGUGAGACUGAGUUAAUUCCAUUUAGACCGGAGACCGUUGUGUUUAGGGUGUCUCGUGAAUUGCGAACUGCACAGGGAGCUGAGCGUGGUAUCUCUCCACCUUCCUCCGCCCAGAGCCCUUGGCUAUGGCAAGACCCUGCACCAGGCCUCCCAGCUAGGGAAGCAGCAGCUCCGUGUGCUGUGCAUGUGGCUUCCUCGCUUCCUGGUGAGCACAUCCUCUUAUGGGCUUACUCAUUUCUGUCUGAGAAAAAUAAAUAAAAUACUAAAUAGCAUGAGAACAGCGAGACAUUCAUCUUGUUGUAGACAGUGAUCACACAGCCAGGAACUGGGGUGAGCAGGGACCUCAUUUCCAGACCCUCGGGAUGCCUGGAGGCGGCUGGACAGCACCGAGUUUCUUAGCAAAGUAGCUAUUGUUUAAAGAGCAAAAGGGCUACACAGGAAGGCAGCAGGCAGACUGGAAGAGCAGUGUCCACUUCACACAUAUCCCUGACACGCAGUGACCUUCCCGAAAAUGGGCUCCGUGUAUCGUCAGGUCUGGUGAGAUGAGGUGUCACCAGGUGUUCCAAAUCAAAAAUGCAUUUGUGCUGGGAAUGGGGGAGCUUUCUAAAGUCAGAUGCAUCUGUGACAUGGUGGAGGUUAAUGGUGUUGAACAGAGCUCUUCAAGAAAACUUGUCCCACCCCACACGUAACCCUGGCCACACACAGCCACUGAGCCAGGGUGUCUUGUGAAUCAUACGGGUUCGGAUUAAGAUGCUCAUAAGGCCAGGGUCAGUGGCUCAUACCUGUAAUCUCAGCUCUUUGGGUGGCCAAGGCCAGCCUGAGCAACAGACUGAAAGCUCAUCUCUACAAAAAAAUUGCUUUAAAAAAAGAUGCUCAUUAAAUGCAAAAACGGACACUGGAUUUCUUAGUCUUGAUGUGAAAAAAGGAGUCAAAAAUGCCUCAUUGAUGUGUUCCUACUGGUUACAUAGUAAAGUGAUAAGAUUUUGAAUGCACUGGGUUAAAUACACCAUUAAAAUUGAUUUUAUCUGUUCCCUUUUUACUUUUAUCAGUGUCGUUAUGAGGAGAUUUUAG
rnacentral:lncRNA from 10 species